AGUGAACGCUGGCGGUAGGCCUAACACAUGCAAGUCGAACGGCAGCACAGUAAGAGCUUGCUCUUACGGGUGGCGAGUGGCGGACGGGUGAGGAAUACAUCGGAAUCUACUUUUUCGUGGGGGAUAACGUAGGGAAACUUACGCUAAUACCGCAUACGGCCUACGGGUGAAAGCAGGGGAUCUUCGGACCUUGCGCGAUUGAAUGAGCCGAUGUCGGAUUAGCUAGUUGGCGGGGUAAAGGCCCACCACGGCGACGAUCCGUAGCGGGUCCGAGAGGAUGAUCAGCCACCCUGGAACUGAGACACGGUCCCGACUCCUACGGGAGGCAGCAGUGGGGCAUAUUCGACAAGGGGCGCAAGCCUGAUCCAGCCAUACCGCGUGGGUGAAGCAGGGCUUCGGGUUGUAAAGCCCUUUUGUUGGGAAAGAAAAGCAGCAGGUUAAUACCCCGCUGUUCUGACGGUACCCAAAGAAUAAGCACCGGCUAACUUCGUG
rnacentral:rRNA from 1 species